GCUGGCCGAGAUCAACCGGGAGUUUCUCUGUGACCAGAAGUACAGUGAUGAAGAGAACCUUCCAGAAAAGCUCACAGCCUUCAAAGGUAAGCUGGGGCAGGCUGCCCUGCAUUUAUUCCUGGGGGAGGUGGGCUGGCCCCUCAUCCUUGCACACAGGACCCCUUAGCCCCACAGGACUAGGCUGUGGCCCUGUUUCGUCCACAAUGCCCUUCUUCCUGGCAGGCUUGGAGACAGGUACCCCCGAGAGGUGGUUGGAGGCCCCUCCACCUGCCUCCCUGCCCCUGUGGGCCCCGUCACCCCUCGCCUGCAGCCCGGUCCUGGCCCUGCCCCUCUCUCUCCCCUUGCUGCCCACGGGGCUCAGGCUGGUUCCCGUCCGCCGCUGCCCAGGCCCCGUCACUCCCGGGCCCCGCACACAAUCAGCUCUUUGUGAGCAAGCCUUGCCUCUCCCCCUCCCCAGCAGAGUGUCUCAGGAGCCCCUGCGGAGAAUGGACGUUUGUGUCGCCACAGUGGGGCAGGGGGGCAGAGUUUCUGCCCAUUGAAACCCGGCAGCACGGGAUGAAAAGAAAGCAGGGCCUGGGAGCUGGCGCGGGGAGAGGGGCAGCAUAAAGAUCCCUCUGUUUGGGGCCCUGGCGCUUGGUUCCCAGCCAGCACCUCGAAAGGAGAGGAGCCGGGCACAUAGGGGGCGGCGCAGACCCACCUUCCCUGCCAGGGGAGGCACUUAGGCACAGGAGCCCUGGGCUGUCAUGGAAAAUAUCCUGGAGGUUGCAUUCCCCUCCAAAGUGUUUGCAGUGUGAGCAUCCUCCCGGCUCUGGGGCAAAGAACUUGGCCAAGUGUUCCUCAAAUCGCUUCCACUUGUCCUUAGGCUGGACAUCUAGGG
rnacentral:sRNA from 1 species